CAGCCGUAAACUAUGCUCGCUAGGUGUCAGGCAUGGCGCGACCGUGUCUGGUGCCGCAGGGAAGCCGUGAAGCGAGCCACCUGGGAAGUACGGCCGCAAGGCUGAACUUAAGGAUUGGCGGGGGGAGCACAACAACGGGUGGAGCCUGCGGUUUAAUUGGACUCAACGCCGGACAACUCACCGGGGGACGACAGCAAUAUGUAGGCCAGGCUGAAGACCUUGCCUGAAUCGCUGAGAGGAGGUGCAUGGCGUAGACGUCU
rnacentral:rRNA from 1 species